CGAUUAGGCAGCAGUGGGGAAUAUUGCACAAUGGGCGAAAGCCUGAUGCAGCAACGCCGCGUGAGGGACGAAGGCUUUCUGAGUUGUAAACCUCUUUCAGCAGGGACGAUGAUGACGGUACCUGCAGAAGAAGCCCCGGCCAACUACGUGCCAGCAGCCGCGGUAAUACGUAGGGGGCAAGCGUUGUCCGGAUUUAUUGGGCGUAAAGAGCUCGUAGGCGGCUUGGCAAGUCGGAUGUGAAACCUCCAGGCUCAACCUGGAGUCGCCAUCUGAUACUGCUAUGGCUAGAGUUUGGUAGGGGACCACGGAAUUCCUGGUGUAGCGGUGAAAUGCGCAGAUAUCAGGAGGAACACCAGCGGCGAANGCGGUGGUCUGGGCCAAUACUGACGCUGAGGAGCGAAAGCGUGGGGAGCGAACAGGAUUAGAUACCCUGGUAGUCCACGCCGUAAACGUUGGGCACUAGGUGUGGGGACCUAUCGACGGUUUCUGUGCCGCAGCUAACGCAUUAAGUGCCCCGCCUGGGGAGUACGGCCGCAAGGCUAAAACUCAAAGGAAUUGACGGGGGCCCGCACAAGCGGCGGAGCAUGUGGCUUAAUUCGAGGCAACGCGAAGAACCUUACCUGAGUUUGACAUGUAAAGAAAAGCCGUAAAGAUACGUGUCCUUCGGGGUUCUACACAGGGGGGGCAUGGCUGUCGUCAGCUCGGGUCGGGAAAUGUUGGGUUAAGUCCCGCAACGAGCGCAACCCUUGU
rnacentral:rRNA from 1 species